UACGAAGGGGGCUAGCGUUGUUCGGAUUUACUGGGCGUAAAGCGCACGUAGGCGGUUCGUUAAGUCAGGGGUGAAAUCCUGGAGCUCAACUCCAGAACUGCCUUUGAUACUGGCGAUCUUGAGUCCGGAAGAGGUGAGUGGAACUGCGAGUGUAGAGGUGAAAUUCGUAGAUAUUCGCAAGAACACCAGUGGCGAAGGCGGCUCACUGGCCCGAUACUGACGCUGAGGUGCGAAAGCGUGGGGAGCAAACAGG
rnacentral:rRNA from 1 species